rnacentral:rRNA from 1 species
UACGUAGGAGGCAAGCGUUGUCCGGAAUUACUGGGCGUAAAGAGCGUGCAGGCGGUUGGACAAGUCUGCUGUGAAAACUCCUGGCUCAACCAGGAAGGGUCGGUGGAAACUGUCCAACUAGAGGACGGUAGAGGGGGGUGGAAUUCCCGGUGUAGUGGUGAAAUGCGUAGAGAUCGGGAGGAACACCAGCGGCGAAGGCGGCCCCCUGGGCCGCUCCUGACGCUGAGACGCGAAGGCCAGGGUAGCGAACGGG